UCUGUGGCCAAGGAGCAGCGGGCAAGGGGCUAAGGGGAGGGGGGCCCCGUGCCAGCCAUUUAAAAAUGCCCCGUGGCAAUGAGGGGUGGCAGAGGCCCGGUCAAGUUAGUUGAGAAGCAAUGACACCCCCAACAAUCCCCUAAAUGGGCUGAGCCCCGUCUCCAGGCUGCAAGGAACCACACCUGGACCAGACCCCGGGAGAGCCUCCCGGAGCUUCCCAGGAAGACAGAGCUUCCCCCCGGCUGGGCUCAGCAAUAUUUCCUGAGGACAGUGGGGAGCAGGGAGGGGAAAUUGGCCCAUUUCUGGGAGCCACCCCCCAGACUGCCACCAGCCAGCACCAGGUAAGAAUCUGCCCUAUAAGAGUCCAAGGCCACUGUUCAACCGUCUCCUUUGACAGAAGGGAAAUGGAGCCACAAAGAGGGGAAGUGCCUGGGAGAAGUGAUCACACCAGUUGGUGAUAGAACUCGGGUCUCCCAAGUGGCCCCCUGUCUACCGACUGGGGAACAAGAGUAAGAAGGAGCCUCUCAUGGAGCAAGGAGAAUAGGAAGGCUACCAAAACCCUUCUCCUUUGAAGGAGACCAGGUGUCAGGGCCAGCACUGUCUGCCUGCUGGGCAAGUAAGAAAGACUCAAGGGAAGAGUUCCCAGGGCUAAGAGAGCCAAGAGGACACCCUUCCGGCAUCUCUGCCCCUCCUCCCAGCCCACCAGCACCUCCUCCAGGAAGCCCUCCCAGCUUCCCCCUGGGACAGGAACCUCUUUGUCCUCUAAGACCUUGGCAGUCCUUUCUCAGGCUCUCUCUUGUGCCACUUGGGUCUGCCCACUAUUCACCUUGCCAGGGACACUUUCCUUCCAUCUCAGUCUGAUUGCGCCCCUCCAGGGCAAGGACGCAGUCAGGUUCAGUCCCACCUCCCCUUAGCAGGUAGAAGACGCCCUAGGUUUGCUGAAUGUUCAGGUAAAAUGGUUAGACCCUGUCCCAAACCCAAAGGAUUGGUGAAGUGACUGGGGAAGGAGACAUUCAGCAUAGAGUUUAAAAUGAGGGCGCCGGGGCUGGCUGUUCUGAGUUAGGAACCCAGCUCAGCUCCUAACUCCAUGGCCUUGAAAAAUUCCCUUCCCACAGGGCCUUGGGGACACAAGGGCGUUAGCACGAUUAAAACAGUCAAUAAACAACUGUUCUUAUGACAGUCAGCAGCAGCAGAUUUUUUUCUAGAUACAAGGGAACAGAAUGACACAGCCUAUAGCCAGAGGAGAGGGAGGCAAAUAGAUUCCCCUGGUCAAAGGCUGCUCAUCAAGCCCCUGUCCCUGCGUCAGAGUUUCUCCCACAGGAACGUGGGGCUGCCUCCCAUCUCCCUCCCGCCUCCACACCCAGGAGAGGCACCAUCUUCGCAGCAAUAUUCGGAGCUGGGUGGGCUGUGCUGGAAAUAGCCCGCGACUCCCCUGCUUCAGCCGGUGGUGCCGGUGGGAGCAUCCCCGCUCCAUCCUGGCCCUCCACGGGGCGGUGAGGACAUUGACCCAGCAGCCUCACCAGCCGUGCUGAAGGCUAAUGGCCACGGGGCGCCACUUCCCGAACCGCGGCCACUCAGAUACCCCCUUUCGUAUUUUUCCCCUCUCUGCAACCAGUCACAGCAUCUGUACAUUUAAGAUGAGUCAUUCGCACGUUUGUACAUUUGUACUGUCCGUGAACACCCGUAACACUGCCCAUCUCGAGGGGAUGAAGGGUGGAACCCCGACAGCAGCUCCUGGCUCCAAGCCGCACCCUGUCUCCCAGCCUGAGGUGCAGUGCUGCAUCUCUGGUCAGUUGGGAGUCUGAGAUGAAGCACUGUAGCUCGGGAAGGGAGAAGUUGUUCUGCAGCCAUCAGCCUGGACAUGGUAAGUGGUGGCGGUGCUUGGGGACACUGGGAAGGAUGGGAGCGUUUCCAGUGUCCGUGCGGUCGGCCGAGGAAGUUUCUGGACUCAAGUCCUACCCGUGCCACGAUCGGCUUCAUGAUACUUGGCCAAAUCCUGACUCCUCCGUGCACCCCAGUCGGUCCAUCUGUAACAGAGGUGUUGGGGCAUUUGGUGGCGGCCAGUGCCCAACACCCUGCCUCGGCUUUCUCUUUCUGAGCCCGUGGUGGACCCUGCUCAUCAGCCAGGGCAUCCUUUCUUGAAGAGUUCAGAUGCACCUUCAGAAUCCUUCUCAACACCAAGUCCUGGAUAGCUACUGUUAAUGAUUCAGAGCUGAAACCCAUUUGUCAGCUGAAACCCAUUUGAAAUCCUUCUCAACACCAAGUCCUGGAUAGCUACUGUUAAUGAUUCAGAGCUGAAACCCAUUUGUCAGCUGAAACCCAUUUGUCAGCUGAAACCCAAUUUGUGGAUUGGACAAUUCCUAAAAACCCUUGCAUCCCUGAAGACAAAAGUCCUGAGCUUUGAGUCAGGCUCCUCAUUCUUUGGGUGCCUAACCUUGGCUCCAGGCUAUUGCCUCAGCCAGUCCAGGCUUUACAUACAUGUCCAGCCUGUCUCAGAGGCUUCCGACAAGCAAGGAAUAGCAGAGAAUCACCGGGCUAAGCACAAUCUUAUUUAACCUCCUGACAAGCUUGGAAGGUGGCCAGUGUUAUUGACCCAUUUUACAGAUGAGAAGACUGAGGCUCAGUUAAGCAAUUCACCCACGGCCAUGCAAUGAUUGUGUCAGCCAGGGUUGUAGCCUAAUCUGUCUGCUUUCAGGUUCGUGUUCUUACCCCAGUCCAGUACAUGUGAUUUUAGAACUGGGGGGUGGGGGAGCAGGAGGAGAAUAUACUAAAUAAAUCUGGUCUUCUCCUUUCAUCUUGGGUCGCUUUUCACAGACAGACCUAGAGAGUUUCCACUGACCCCAUGGACUGCCUUGCUCCUAUCCCUCCUCCCAAACUGUAUCUGUCACACCUGAUCCAGGAGGUCCUCUCCUCUCCCAUUUGACAGUUGAGGAAAGCUGAGGCUAAGGGGCUUGCUGGAGAUCCCAGGGAGAAAGUUGCCGCAGACCGCGAACCGGAUCUGCCCAGGGUUUAGACUCAAACCCUCCCUCUGGCCGGAGACUGAAGAACACACAGCCCCCAGCAGUCAUGGGGGGAGGGGGGCUGGGAUGCCACCAGAUGGUUUCUGGUCAACAACACGGCCUUUGACUACAGGAAAGGUACUUUCCAGGGCACUUGAAGUUCCAGUCACUGCUCCUGCUGGAGCAAUCAGCCAGUCCCGCGAUCCGUGGCGUCCACACUGACUCCUGCAGUUGGGACUGGACGCAGAAGAAGACUCUCGCCAGUCCUUAGGGAUGUGGCAGGGCCUUGGUGCUGAAGGCCCCUCUCUCACCUUGUCCUCACGGUCCAGUUUUCCCAGGAAUCCCUUAGAUGCUAAGAUGGGGAUUCCUGGAAAUACUGUUCUUGAGGUCAUGGUUUAGCAGCUGGACUCACCUGCCCCCCACCCAGAGCUGUCCCCGUGGGACCUCAGCUCAAGCUCGGGAUGAGGCUCAAGUAGGAGGCCGUGCGCUGGAGGUAAGAGGGCUUGCACACGGUGUUCUUGACCUUUAAGCUGCUUUUUCUUUCCAUUUUGUCCAUUUCGUAACAUUCCUAUGAGACUGGAUGUGGGAACCUCACCACGGCUGUACUCUUGGGAAAUUUGUCCAGGCACUCAGCUGAGGAGUGAUUGAACCAGGUCACCAUAAAGUAUGUGCUUCUUCCGGUCCCCACCCCAGCCCCUCACCCCACUUCCCAGCAUGCCCUGUGAUGGGGGCCAAGAUAUGGUAUCUACAUUAUUGAUAAACUAAUAAACGCACAUGAGUUUAUUUUAGUAGUUUAUUAAAUCAGUUAGAUAAACUAAAAACCAUAAGUCUUAGUUCGAUUUGCAAUGCAACCACAGAAAAAUGAAAAUUUUUUUCAUCAAAGCCCAGAAGACAAAAAAAAGCUCAGAGCGCCCUCUUGUGGUGACACCUGCCUCUCCUUCCUUCCUGGAGCCCUGGGGCUUCUCUGACACACACAACACACAUUCGGACAUUCCUUUUGCCCCGAUCACUUUGCGCCAGGGAACGAGUUAGCCCGCCCAUCAUCUCAUUACCUAUGGUGCCUCCAUCACUAAGAGUUUAGUCCUACUUCUAUAGCCUGGCUUCGUCCUCAAAGCUCUCAGUGUGGUUGGUGAGGCUGAGAGGUGAAGUGACCAGCCCAAGGUCACCCAGGCAGCCAAAGGCAGAGCCAGAAUUGAUUCCAGGUUCAGUGGCCUGUGGUAAUUCCUUAGCCAAAAGCAAAAACUACAAAAAAAAAAAAAAAAAAGGAGAAGAAGAAGAAGAUGACUGUCUGAAUAGACACAGGGAAUGCCCCAGACCUGAGGUGGUCCUGCUGCUGGACUAAAACUUCUUGCAAACUCUUCCUAGUGCUUUUCAUGGAGAUGGUAGGGACGGUAGGUGCCAUGACCCUAGAAUCCUCACCCGUGGAUCUCAUCCCCAUACUCCCAGGGACCAGAUGGCUCUCACAUGGGGCUCCGGCUGUCUUCCUAGCAGACCAUAUUGAGGACCUUCAUGAAGGAUGAGAUCCCCUCCUCCUCCUAUAUAGAGUGGAGCUGGCCUGACCACGGAGAUAGCUGACUUGCUCCUGAUAAAUAAUAAUAAUUAUUAUUAUUAUUAUUAUUAUUAUUAUUAUUAUUAUAGUGUCCAUUCAUUGACUGUUUACAAUUUGCCAGGCACUCCGCUAAUCACUUCCCAGGCAUUGUCUCAUUCAGUCCUUACUACAACCCAGUGAGGUAGGUUCUAUCCUUUACCCUAUUUCACAGACGAGGAAGCCAAGGCUCAGAGAGGUUAAGAGACUUGCAAGAUCACCCACCUAAUAAUAAGCUGGGAUCACAUCAAGUCUGUAUUUAUGCUUUUAACCUGCCCUUGCGCCCUCCCUCCCAUGGACUGGCCUACCGGUUGGCGGGCAGUCUGCCUGGGGCUUCCCCUGGGGGAGAGGGUAAAACAAUCCUUCGGUGAGACUCAAGUGGUCCAUCCUGUGCCCUGUGAUUCUAAUAAAGUGCUGGAUCCGUG